rnacentral:rRNA from 1 species
GACGAACGCUGGCGGCGUGCUUAACACAUGCAAGUCGAACGGUGAAGGAGAGCUUGCUCUCCGGAUCAGUGGCGAACGGGUGAGUAACACGUGGGCAACCUGCCCCAGACUUCGGGAUAACGCUUCGAAAGAGGUGCUAAUACCGGAUACGAACUCCUUGGGCAUCCUUGGAGUUGGAAAGUUUUUCGGUCUGGGAUGGGCCCGCGGCCUAUCAGCUUGUUGGUGAGGUAACGGCUCACCAAGGCGACGACGGGUAGCCGGCCUGAGAGGGCGACCGGCAACACUGGGACUGAGACACGGCCCAGACUCCUACGGGAGGCAGCAGUAAGGAAUAUUGGUCAAUGGACGCAAGUCUGAACCAGCCAUGCCGCGUGCAGGAAGACGGUCCUCUGGAUUGUAAACUGCUUUUGUUAGGGAAGAAGCCCUCGUAUGCGUACGAGGCUGACGGUACCUGAAGAAUAAGCACCGGCUAACUACGUGCCAGCCGCCGCGGUAACAC